rnacentral:rRNA from 1 species
GGGUUGUGAGGUUAAGCGACUAAGCGUACACGGUGGAUGCCCUGGCAGUCAGAGGCGAUGAAGGACGUGCUAAUCUGCGAUAAGCGCCGGUAAGGUGAUAUGAACCGUUAUAACCGGCGAUUUCCGAAUGGGGAAACCCAGUGUGACUCGUCACACUAUCAUUAACUGAAUCCAUAGGUUAAUGAGGCGAACCGGGGGAACUGAAACAUCUAAGUACCCCGAGGAAAAGAAAUCAACCGAGAUUCCCCCAGUAGCGGCGAGCGAACGGGGAGGAGCCCAGAGCCUGAAUCAGCAUGUGUGUUAGUGGAAGCGUCUGGAAAGGCGCGCGAUACAGGGUGACAGCCCCGUACACAAAAGCGCAUGUGCUGUGAGCUCGAUGAGUAGGGCGGGACACGUGGUAUCCUGUCUGAAUAUGGGGGGACCAUCCUCCAAGGCUAAAUACUCCUGACUGACCGAUAGUGAACCAGUACCGUGAGGGAAAGGCGAAAAGAACCCCGGCGAGGGGAGUGAAAAAGAACCUGAAACCGUGUACGUACAAGCAGUGGGAGCACCCUUCGGGGUGUGACUGCGUACCUUUUGUAUAAUGGGUCAGCGACUUAUAUUCUGUAGCAAGGUUAACCGUAUAGGGGAGCCGGAGGGAAACCGAGUCUUAAUUGGGCGUUAAGUUGCAGGGUAUAGACCCGAAACCCGGUGAUCUAGCCAU